ACGGAGCCCGCAGAUGGCCCCGUGACGGGGUUUUCCCUGAGCCGUGGCUCGGGUCGUAACCGGAUUCCCUGAUCCGUGGCUCAGGAACUGGAAUCUCCGUCAGUCGGUGGUGGGCAAGCCAGUAAAUGACUCCUGAGACCAACGGCGGAGCUGUCUCCCACCUCUCGUCAAGCUUUCUUGUGUUGCCCAUUGACGCCUUCGGAGAUCUGCGGAAGAAGGAGUACACGGCGGCGAGUUUCGUGGUUGGAGUUCCUGAUGCUACCAAUUAGGAGGUCCGCGGUGAUGGAGGAGGUGAACGACAACCAACUACCAGUGGUGGGCGACGACGUCUCUGAUUGGUCGGAAGCCAGCCGAAAUUCCACUCCCGAUUCCCACCCUUGGCCCGCCGACCAACUCCAUGGCCGCCGCCGGCGACAACGCGCCAGCGGGGCUCUUCUCUGGCGUCUGGUCCCGCCUCCACGCCGCGGCCUCCGUCUGGCGCUGCCGGGGCCAGGCCUCCCGCGACGGUGAGGUGGAGGAGGACCAGGAGGCGACGGUGCGGUCGCGCCUGGCAAGGCGGGUUGGCAGGAAGCUCGCCUUCGUCUCCUUCAACCUCAAGGUGCUGGUAUUCAUCUACGCGUUCUGGAGGGCGAGAAGACGGAGUUUGACCUGGAGGCAACCCAUCCAGGUGCUGCCGGUGCUCGCCGUCCCUGCUCAUGGAGCCGGUGCAUUACCCAGCGGUUGCGACAGCAGCGGAGGAGCUGUCCCCAAUGGCCACUGGAAGCGUUGACGGGCAGAUCUGUGCGGCGGAUGGGGCAGUUGCGGCGGAGGGGGAUGAUGAACCGCAGGCAUCUGAGAAAUCUAUUGGCCAGGUUGAUCCAAAAACACCUGGCUGGACUCGCAGGGUUAGAAUUGGAGCUGCUGCUCCUGGCAGGGCGCCUUGCCCUGGGCGAACCAGUGCCCUUGAGAAGGCAAUUCGGGGGUUUGGUGACAAGCCGGGGAGCAUUGUAAUUGUACCAGCACUGGGCACAAGCUUUGAUACACUCGGGGAGGCCUAUGAUUUCUACAAUCUCUGCUCGUGGGAGAAGGGAUUUGGUAUAAGAUAUGGGAAGAGUAGGCUGAAUGUGGAGAGAACAAAAUGCAUGCAGGAAAUUGUUUGCGGAUGUGCGGGUAAACCGGGUGUGGAAAACACAAGAUCAUGCCGAUGUGAAUGCCCGACAUUAAUAAGACUGCUUCGCACAAAGGACAAUGGUUGGUACAUAGUUGAGCAUCGUGAAUAGCACAACCAUUCGCUAUCUCCCACAUAUGGACAGACAAUACACUUGCCUUCACACAAUCACAUUGAUGCUUACAGCAGAGACUUGGUGGAGCAAUUGCGACAGAACAAUGUGAAUCUAGCCAAAGUACACAACAUAAUUGGAAGCUUCUUUGGUUCAAUGGAAAGGGUGCCUUUCACAAAAAGAGCUCUGAAAAAUUUGUGUGGUAAAAUCAGUAGAGAGCAGUUAGAGGAUGAUGUGAGGAAGACCAUGGAGGUGUUCGCAGAUCUGGGCUCAAGAAAUCCUCACUUCACCUAUCGUGUACAGGCAGACCAGGAUGGUUGGAUAACAACUCUUAUGUGGGCAAAUGGGAGCAGCAGGUUGCAGCACACAUUCUUUGGAGAUGUUGUCACCUUCGAUACGACAUACGGAACAGACCUGUACAACAUGCCAUUUGGUCUGUUUGUGGGUGUGAAUAAUCAUUUUUAGAGCAUCACCCUGGCCGGUGUUCUUGUCCGUGAUGAAAAGGUCGAGACAUUUGAGUGGGUUUUCACAGAAUUCAUUAGGAUGAUGGGGGGUACUGCACCCAAGACAAUUCUAAUAGAUCAAUGCCGGGCUAUGGAGGUCGCCAUUAAAAAUGUGAUGCCUCAAACGGCACACCGUUGGUGCAAGUGGCAUGUGCUGAAGAAGGCAAAAGAAUCACUUGGUUCGUUGUACUCGAAGAAUAGCGAGUUCAGGAUAGAAUUCCACAAGGUAGUAAAUCACAUGCUUACAAUCGAUGAAUUUGAGGAAGCUUGGAAGAUAUUGGUGGAGAAAUAUAAUUUGAAGACCCACGACUACAUGAGGCAGCUGUAUCAUUUAUAUAAGACACAAGUGGGCGAAGCCUUAUUUUAAAGGUGUUUUCUGUGCUAAGAUGAGAAAGCGCAAACCACAUGUUGAAGAACUAUGUACCGCCCGGUUGUCCCAUGCAUAUGUUUGUGAAGAAAUACAUGAGACUUCAAUUUGACAGGGAAGCUGAGGAGAACUACGAGGAGAAGCGGGCACGGAUAGUGCUGGUGUUACAGAGAUACCGCAGAAACACAUUGUGAAGCGAUAGACCAGGGACGCACGGGACAUACUGCCAGCUCACCUUACUCAAUAUCAGAAAGAUAAUGCUCACAAAAAUCCGUUCAGCUUCAGGCAUUUCAAUAUGUAUAUGCAUGCCAUGGAGUUGGUUCGGAUGGGCGAUGCAAGUGUGGAAGCAUAUGAGAAAUUCAUGACUUUCAUCUAGGAUUGCAUCGUCCAAAUGGAACCAUUUUCGGAAAUAAGGGAUGGGCUGGGACUGGAGGACAUGGUUGGUCAGCAUGGAGAUGGUGUUAAUAUCCAUGUGAAUGCUGACCAGCUUGCUGCACAUACGACAGUUGUUGCAGCAAGUGGAGGUGCAAGCUUCGGGAUUGUGAAUGAUGAUGCUACUUCUGCAAAUGAGAGUGGGAACAGACCAGUGGUUUGUUGGCGCCAAAGAAAAGGAAAGAAAUUGGGCGCCCGACAACUAGCCGUGAGAAGGCACCGUACGAGGAGCUCAGCAAGCGGACCAGGUUCUGUAGCAUAUGUCGGCAGCAACACUACUAGGGAAAAGCUUAUAGGCAGACGCUUACUAGUAGCGAGGGUCUAUAACCCUCGCUACUGCUCCUUAUUAGUAGCAUGUGUUUCUACCCCUCGCUACUACUAAGUUGAUACUAGUAGCACAGGUUUUUAACCCGCGCUAAUACUAAGCGGUCUCCCAGGACGGUAAGGAAUUGCAAAAAGCCACCACAUUUGGGGCUUCAUCUGCGAAAAACCACCGGGUCCCUAAUCAUUUGCAAAAAUCACCGCACAUUCAGUAAACAUUUUGCAAAGAGCACUAAUCAGGUGAUUUAGCCCGUUUAUUCACUUUCUGACAAGUGGGGCCGGAAUGUAAGGAGCUGAUUUG